GGAGUUAGCCGGUGCUUCUUCUGUGAGUGAUGUCCUUCCUGCCGGCUAUUAACCCGCAGGCCUUCUUCCUCACUGAAAGUGCUUUACAACCCGAAGGCCUUCUUCACACACGCGGCAUGGCUGGAUCAGGGUUGCCCCCAUUGUCCAAUAUUCCCCACUGCUGCCUCCCGUAGGAGUCUGGGCCGUGUCUCAGUCCCAGUGUGGCUGAUCAUCCUCUCAGACCAGCUACGGAUCGUCGCCUUGGUGAGCCGUUACCUCACCAACCAGCUAAUCCGACAUAGGCUCAUCCGAUAGCGCGAGGCCCGAAGGUCCCCCGNUUUCCCCCGUAGGGCGUAUGCGGUAUUAGCCUGGGUUUCCCCCAGGUUAUCCCCCGACUACCGGGCAGAUUCCUAUGCAUUACUCACCCGUCCGCCGCUCGCCACCAGGGAGCAAGCUCCCCGUGCUGCCGCUCGACUUGCAUGUGUUAGGCCUGCCGCCAGCGUUCAAUCUGAGCCAGGAUCAAACUCUGA
rnacentral:rRNA from 1 species